UACGAAGGGUGCAAACGUUGCUCGGAAUCAUUGGGCGUAAAGCGCACGUAGGCGGCUCACCAAGUCGGACGUGAAAUCCCUCAGCUCAACUGAGGACGUGCAUCCGAAACUGGCGAGCUUGAGUAUGGAAGAGGGUCGCGGAAUUCCCGGUGUAGAGGUGAAAUUCGUAGAUAUGUGGAGGAACACCAAUGGCGAAGGCAGCCCCCGGGGAUAACACUGACGCUCAUGUACGAAAGCGUGGGUAGCAAACAGG
rnacentral:rRNA from 1 species